rnacentral:rRNA from 1 species
CAGCCGCCGCGGGAACACAGAGGGUGCGAGCGUUAAUCGGAUUUACUGGGCGUAAAGCGUGCGUAGGCGGCUUUUUAAGUCGGAUGUGAAAUCCCUGAGCUUAACUUAGGAAUUGCAUUCGAUACUGGGAAGCUAGAGUAUGGGAGAGGAUGGUAGAAUUCCAGGUGUAGCGGUGAAAUGCGUAGAGAUCUGGAGGAAUACCGAUGGCGAAGGCAGCCAUCUGGCCUAAUACUGACGCUGAGGUACGAAAGCAUGGGGAGCAAACAGGAUUAGAUACCCCAGUAGUCCCUGUCUCUUAUAA